UACGGAGGGGGCAAGCGUUACUCGGAAUUAUUGGGCGUAAAGGGCGCGUAGGCGGUCGUGCGCGUCGGAGGUGAAAUCCCCGGGCUUAACCCGGGAGCUGCCUCCGAUACGGCAUGGCUUGAGUCCGGGAGAGGGGAGCAGAAUUCCCAGUGUAGCGGUGAAAUGCGUAGAUAUGUGGAGGAACACCUGUGGCGAAGGCGCCUUGCUGGCCGAUUUCUGACGCUGAGGCGCGAAAGCGUGGGGAGCAAACAGG
rnacentral:rRNA from 1 species